UGGCGCGAAUGCCGCAGGGCGCAAGCGCGCGCGAUCAAGGUCUGUGGUCAGCCCGUGUGUCCUGCUUCGGCGAAUACACUGCGCGGUCCGGCAUAGCGGGGCGUAGGCGGCAUCGCCGUUCGAGACCCGCGGCCGGC
rnacentral:sRNA from 1 species